rnacentral:rRNA from 1 species
UACGAAGGGGGCUAGCGUUGCUCGGAAUCACUGGGCGUAAAGCGCACGUAGGCGGAUCUUUAAGUCAGGGGUGAAAUCCCAAGGCUCAACCUUGGAACUGCCUUUGAUACUGGGGAUCUCGAGUCCGGAAGAGGUUGGUGGAACUCCGAGUGUAGAGGUGAAAUUCGUAGAUAUUCGGAAGAACACCGAGUGGCGAAGGCGGCCAAACUGGUCCCGGCACUGGACGCUGAGGUGCGAAAGCGUGGGGAGCAAACAGG